rnacentral:rRNA from 1 species
AACGAACGCUGGCGGCAUGCCUAACACAUGCAAGUCGAACGAGACCUUCGGGUCUAGUGGCGCACGGGUGCGUAACGCGUGGGAACCUGCCCUUAGGUUCGGAAUAACUCCCCGAAAGGGGUGCUAAUACCGGAUAAUGUCUUCGGACCAAAGAUUUAUCGCCUUUGGAUGGGCCCGCGUUGGAUUAGCUAGUUGGUAGGGUAAAAGCCUACCAAGGCGACGAUCCAUAGCUGGUCUGAGAGGAUGAUCAGCCACACUGGGACUGAGACACGGCCCAGACGGCAAGGGGAAGCAGCGGGGGAGAAAAGAGGACGAGGGGCAACGGCCAGAGGCAGCAUUGGCGCGUGAGUGAUGAAGGCCGUAGGGUUGAAAAGCUCUUGACGCGGGGAGGAUAAAGACAUGGGGGGAAGAAUAAGCUCCGGCAAACUCAGCGCCAGCAGGCGGGGGAAUGGUCGAAGAACACACGUGUGACC